rnacentral:rRNA from 1 species
GAUGAACGCUGGCGGCGUGCUUAACACAUGCAAGUCGAACGGAAAGGCCGAAGCUUGCUUCGGUACUCGAGUGGCGAACGGGUGAGUAACACGUGGGUGAUCUGCGCUGUACUUCGGGAUAAGCUUGGGAAACUGGGUCUAAUACCGGAUAUGACAAUCUCUUGGAUGGGGUUGUGGAAAGCUUUUGCGGUAUGGGAUGAGCUCGCGGCCUAUCAGCUUGUUGGUGGGGUAAUGGCCUACCAAGGCGUCGACGGGUAGCCGGCCUGAGAGGGUGUACGGCCACAUUGGGACUGAGAUACGGCCCAGACUCCUACGGGAGGCAGCAGUGGGGAAUAUUGCACAAUGGGCGCAAGCCUGAUGCAGCGACGCCGCGUGGGGGAUGACGGCCUUCGGGUUGUAAACUCCUUUCGCAACCGACGAAGCUUUUGUGACGGUAGGUUGAGAAGAAGCACCGGCUAACUACGUG